CCAAGGAGUCUAACAUGUGUGCGAGUCAAUGGGUCUCGAAUAAGCCCAGAGGCGCAAUGAAAGCAAAGAUUGGAUUCACUCCAGUCGUGUUGGGAUCCUCCGCCCUCGUCGGCGGAGGGGCACCAACGACCCGUCCUGUACGAUUUAUCGUUUUGGCGGAGUCUGAGCAUACACGUUGGGACCCGAAAGAUGGUGAGUUAUGCCC
rnacentral:rRNA from 1 species